rnacentral:rRNA from 1 species
ACGCUGGCUACAGGCUUAACACAUGCAAGUCGAGGGGAAACGACGGGGAAGCUUGCUUCCUUGGGCGUCGACCGGCGCACGGGUGAGUAACGCGUAUCCAACCUGCCUCUGACUGAGGGAUGACCCGUCGAAAGUCGGCCUAAUACCUCAUGGCAUCGUCUGCGGGCAUCCAACGACGAUUAAAGAUUUCAUCGGUCAGGGAUGGGGAUGCGUCUGAUUAGCUGGUUGGCGGGGUAACGGCCCACCAAGGCUACGAUCAGUAGGGGUUCUGAGAGGUAGGUCCCCCACAUUGGAACUGAGACACGGUCCAAACUCCUACGGGAGGCAGCAGUGAGGAAUGUUGGUCAAUGGGCGAGAGCCUGAACCAGCCAAGUAGCGUGCAGGAAGACGGCCCUAUGGGUUGUAAACUGCUUUUAUGCGGGGAUAAAGUGAGGGACGUGUCCUUCAUUGCAGGUACCGCAUGAAUAAGGACCGGCUAAUUCCGUGCCAGCAGCCGCGGUAAUACGGAAGGUCCUGGCGUUAUCCGGAUUUAUUGGGUUUAAAGGGAGCGUAGGCCGUGGAUUAAGCGUGUUGUGAAAUGCAGGUGCUCAACGUCUGCACUGCAGCGCGAACUGGUCCACUUGAGUGUGCGCAACGCAGGCGGAAUUCGUCGUGUAGCGGUGAAAUGCUUAGAUAUGACGAAGAACUCCGAUUGCGAAGGCAGCUUGCGGGAGCACAACUGACGCUGAAGCUCGAAAGUGCGGGUAUCGAACAGGAUUAGAUACCCUGGUAGUCCGCACGGUAAACGAUGGAUGCCCGUUGUCAGGCUGUUUCAGCCUGGUGACCAAGCGAAAGCAUUAAGCAUCCCACCUGGGGAGUACGCCGGCAACGGUGAAACUCAAAGGAAUUGACGGGGGCCCGCACAAGCGGA